UAAGAUGGCUUGGAACUGGUGUU
rnacentral:siRNA from 1 species